rnacentral:rRNA from 1 species
AGUGAACGCUGGCGGUAGGCCUAACACAUGCAAGUCGACCGGCAGCACAGUAAGAGCUUGCUCUUACGGGUGGCGAGUGGCGGACGGGUGAGGAAUACAUCGGAAUCUACUUUUUCGUGGGGGAUAACGUAGGGAAACUUACGCUAAUACCGCAUACGACCUACGGGUGAAAGCAGGGGAUCUUCGGACCUUGCGCGAUUGAAUGAGCCGAUGUCGGAUUAGCUAGUUGGCGGGGUAAAGGCCCACCAAGGCGACGAUCCGUAGCUGGUCUGAGAGGAUGAUCAGCCACACUGGAACUGAGACACGGUCCAGACUCCUACGGGAGGCAGCAGUGGGGAAUAUUGGACAAUGGGCGCAAGCCUGAUCCAGCCAUACCGCGUGGGUGAAGAAGGCCUUCGGGUUGUAAAGCCCUUUUGUUGGGAAAGAAAAGCAGCAGGUUAAUACCCCGCUGUUCUGACGGUACCCAAAGAAUAAGCACCGGCUAACUUCGUG